rnacentral:rRNA from 1 species
AGUAAAAGUCGUAACAAGGUCUCCGUUGGUGAACCAGCGGAGGGAUCAUUACAGAGUUGCAAAACUCCCACAAACCAUCGCGAAUCUUACCCGUACGGUUGCCUCGGCGCUGGCGGUCCGGAAAGGCCUUCGGGCCCUCCCGGAUCCUUGGGUCUCCUGCUCGCGGGAGGCUGCCCGCCGGAGUGCCGAAACUAAACUCUUGAUAUUUUAUGUCUCUCUGAGUAAACUUUUAAAUAAGUCAAAACUUUCAACAACGGAUCUCUUGGUUCUGGCAUCGAUGAAGAACGCAGCGAAAUGCGAUAAGUAAUGUGAAUUGCAGAAUUCAGUGAAUCAUCGAAUCUUUGAACGCACAUUGCGCUCGCCAGUAUUCUGGCGAGCAUGCCUGUUCGAGCGUCAUUUCAACCAUCAAGCUCUGCUUGCGUUGGGGAUCCGCGGCUGCCCGCGGUCCCUCAAAAACAGUGGCGGGCUCGCUAGUCACACCGAGCGUAGUAAUUCUACAUCGCUAUGGUCGUGCGGCGGGUUCUUGCCGUAAAACCCCCCCAUUUCUAAGGUUGACCUCGGAUCAGGUAGGAAUACCCGCUGAACUUAAGCAUAUCAAUAAGCGGAGGAAAAGAAACCAACAGGGAUUGCCUUAGUAACG